rnacentral:rRNA from 1 species
CGGCAGCAGGGAACCAGGACCUUUACUUUGAAAAAAUUAGAGUGUUCAAAGCAGGCUCGACGCCGGAAUAUAUUAGCAUGGAAUAAUAAAAUAGGACGUGUGGUUCUAUUUUGUUGGUUUUUGGAACCGCCGUAAUGAUUAAUAGGGACAGUCGGGGGCAUUAGUACUCACAUGCUAGAGGUGAAAUUCUUGGAUUUUGUGAAGACUAACUUCUGCGAAAGCAUUUGCCAAGGAUGUUUUCAUUAAUCAGGAACGAAAGUUAGGGGAUCGAAGACGAUCAGAUACCGUCGUAGUCUUAACCAUAAACUAUGCCGACUAGGGAUCGGGCGAUGUUCUUCUUUUGACUCGCUCGGCACCUUACGAGAAAUCAAAGUUUUUGGGUUCUGGGGGGA